rnacentral:rRNA from 1 species
ACGAGGGGAGGAACCGGGGAAAACCCCCAAACGAUGGCUUCAAGUCAGGCGAGACUACCCGC